AUACGGAGGGUGCGAGCGUUACUCGGAGUCACUGGGCGUAAAGCGUCCGUAGGCGGUCGGGUAAGUCGGGUGCGAAAGCCCCGGGCUCAACCUGGGAAGUGCACCCGAUACUGCUCGACUCGAGUGCGGGAGAGGAUGGCGGAAUUCCCGGUGUAGCGGUGAAAUGCGUAGAGAUCGGGAGGAACACCAGUGGCGAAGGCGGCCAUCUGGCCCGCAACUGACGCUGAGGGACGAAAGCGUGGGGAGCAAACAGGAUUAGAAACCCUAGUAGUCC
rnacentral:rRNA from 1 species